CAGGUGCCCCACUCACAGGCCAAUAGAAAGAGAUAUAAGUUACAGGUGCCCCACUCACAGGCCAAUAGAAAGAGAUAUAAGUUACUCACACACACAGGUGCCCCACUCACAGGCCAAUAGAAAGAGAUAUAAGUUACUCACACAGACAGGUGCCCCACUCACAGGCCAAUAGAAAGAGAUAUAAGUUACAGGUGCCCCACUCACAGGCCAAUAGAAAGAGAUAUAAGUUACUCACACACACAGGUGCCCCACUCACAGGCCAAUAGAAAGAGAUAUAAGUUACUCACACACACAGGUGCCCCACUCACAGGCCAAUAGAAAGAGAUAUAAGUUACUCACACACACAGGUGUCCCACUCACAGGCCAAUAGAAAGAGAUAUAAGUUACAGGUGUCCCACUCACAGGUGCC